rnacentral:rRNA from 1 species
AGUACGGGAGGCAGCAGUGGGGAAUUUUGGACAAUGGGGGAAACCCUGAUGCAGCGACGCCGCGUGAAGGAAGAAGUAUUUCGGUAUGUAAACUUCUAUCAGCAAGGAAGAAAUAGACGGUACUUGACUAAGAAGCCCCGGCUAACUACGUGCCAGCAGCCGCGGUAAU